rnacentral:rRNA from 1 species
UAAGCGGAGGAAAGAAACUACAGGAUUCCCCUAGUAACUGCGAGUGAAGCGGGAAAAGCUCAAAUUUAAAAUCUGGUGGUCUUUGGCCAUCCGAGUUGUAAUCUAGAGAAGCGUCUUCCGCGCUGGACCGUGCACAAGUCUCCUGGAACGGAGCGUCGUAGAGGGUGAGAAUCCCGUCUUUGGCAUGGACACACCAGGGCUUUUGUGAUGCGCUCUCGAAGAGUCGAGUUGUUUGGGAAUGCAGCUCAAAAUGGGUGGUGAACUCCAUCUAAAGCUAAAUAUUGGCGAGAGACCGAUAGCGAACAAGUACCGUGAGGGAAAGAUGAAAAGCACUUUGGAAAGAGAGUGAAACAGUACGUGAAAUUGUUGAAAGGGAAACGCUUGAAGUCAGUCGCGUCGACCGAGACUCAGCCUCGCCUCGGCUUGGUGUACUUCUCGGCCCGACGGGUCAGCAUCAAUUUCGCCUCUUGGAUAAUGGCGAGGGAAACGUGACACCUUUACGGUGUGUUAUAGUCUCUCGUCGCAUGCAAGGGUCGGGAUUGAGGAGCUCAGCACGCGCCUUUGGGCGUCGGGGCUUUGCCUACGAUACGUGCUUAGGAUGUUGGCGUAAUGGCUUUAAACGACC